CUCUCAUUCUCCUCCCUCCUGCUCUCAGUGUCCUCCAUCUCUCCGUUUUCUCUCAUUUUCUUUGAUUAAGGACACUUUUAGAGACUGCUGCAGUUACUCCUUCAUCUCUUAUCCUCCUUAUUGGGAUACUAAAGAGUGAAGCAGCACAGAGCUGACCUUAUAAAGACUCUAACUGCCCAGACCACACCUCUAUCCCUGGAAGUCCAUGGAAGCCAAGGCCAAGACCGGGGCCCCAGCGCCCAAGGCAGCAUCAAAAGCAGAGAAGAAGGAGCCGGCAGCACCACGCAAAGCUGACCCUACCCCUGCAGCCCCCGAACCUGAGUAUCCUCCUCCCCAGGAUGGGGCGGCCGAAGCUGAAGCAACAGCAGGUGACGAGGCUGCGGCGUGCGGCACAGACUCUCUGGAACACCUGAAACCCUUUCUCAUCGGGGGUGCUGUUAUUGCUGCAGGAGCCGUCUUGCUGGGAGUGUUGCUACUGGCAAGGAGAAAUUAAAACCAAAUCAUUGUGUCAAAUUGAAAUAUUUAUUGUAUGAUGACAUAGGGUGUCAUUGUUGAGUGGUUCACAGACUAUGAGGCUACACGUGGGGGAUUGGGAGCCACUGUGCAUUUUUCUUUUUUGGGGGGGCCUGCUUUCACUUGUAAUGAAUCAAACCAUUCAAGUUUUGAUCAAGGCUGUAAAUGGAGCAUAAUUACACAGAAUAUAUGCAUGAAAUUGCUUCAAUAUUGCAUAUGAACAGUAAUAAUCAAUUUCAUAAAAACAAUCUCACACUGUAGUACUAAGCUUAAAAUCCUAAACCCUGUAAAGGUAACUUAUUCAACUGCUUUAUCAUUUUUAAUUCAGUCUGCACAAAUAUUGACAUAAGCUUGCAAUAUUUGUACAUUCUUGCACUGGAAAUGAGCUUGGUUCACUUUGCUAAAAAAAAAAAAUCAUGAAAAACUGUAUUUAUAAUGUUGAAACUAUCAGAGUCGCUCUAGGUUUUACCUUAUUUUUAAAUAAGACAAUUGAAAGAGUAGGCCUAAAAAAUGCUGGAAAUACACAUCUUGAUGUAUUGCACAUAUUUUGACUAAAUCAGUGCCUAAGUGAAGGGACUCAGUUCCCAACACAGACACUCAAUCCCUGCAAAUAAAAGAAAAAAAGUCAACUAGGGAAUGGCACAGUGCAAUUAAAAAAAUAAUCAACAGAAAACAUAAGCAUGUAGUGGUUAAGGAAUGGGAUGAAGGCGAUUGUUGGAGAAUAAAACAUACACAGUAUGUGGCAGAGAAUAAUAGUAGCUUAUUGCUGAACAAGAAAGUUUUAUUUUACAGUCUAAAGAAAUCACAGAUUAAUAACAUGUCUUACAAGAACAGCCACAGCCAUGCUGGUUCAAUCUGUUUACAUCCUACAGUAGAUGUAGCUAUAGCAGAACAGCCAUUAGUGUUGCAGUGUCAGGUUUAAAGCCUGCUGCCAAAACAUUUGAGUUGUUUCUGUCGUCACUGUGCCCCUUUUAUGUGGCUUUAGGAAAACUCCUUGUUUUCAAAACAACUGUUAUGUAAUGAGAGCAUCCUUGGCUGCUGAUACACUGCAAGUUGGCUGUAGGUGAACUAUUGUUGUGUUGAUUACUUAAACCGGGGGAAAAAAACUGCCCACACUCAUCUGUACAGCUGUACACCAUAAUGUCCACUCACAUGUAAAGCUCAUGGGGAUGUUGCAUAAGUAGGUAGCAGAAAAACAACAUGACAUGCAACAUGAUUUAAUUUUAGUUGUAAGGGUACGUAUGAGUUUACUACACAUUACUGGCCGAAAAUAUUAUAUGGACACAUUGCUUUCACCAUAGUCAACACCCUGAACACAUCCAAAAGAUAGUAUGCCAACACUGAAAAACAAACUUCACCUUACAUUGUACAAUUCAGUGUACCAAAAAGAAAAAAAAAGAGAAGAAAAAUCCUAUUUUCAUAAUUUCAACAGCGUAUAAAUGCAAUAAUUCAGAUAGGACUCCUCAUUUAGCACAUGUGCUGUAGCAAGUUAAAUUACAGAAAUGAUGAUGUAAUAAUACUGUUGGUGAUGAUGAUGUAUGAUAUUCACGAUGGCAAUGACUGAGGUUACUGAUGCUGAUGGCGGUGGUGAUGGUCUUGUUGUUCAUGAUGAUUGUAAUGAUGAUAAUGAUGGUUAUGAUAUAUUUUUGAUAUAUUUCUAACAUAUUUCCCUUAGGCACCCUCCCCUCUGCCCUCAAAUUCCUAAAUGUAAAAAAUAAAGAGGAUGUAAUCUAAUCUUUAUUAAAGUCAGUGAACCAGC